rnacentral:rRNA from 1 species
UACGAGGGGUGCAAGCGUUGCUCGGAAUUAUUGGGCGUAAAGGGUAGGUAGGUGGUCUCAUUUGUCUGGGGUGAAAGCCUUGAGCUUAACCCAAGAAGUGCCCCAGAAACGGUGAGACUGGAGUCCUGGAGAGGGUCGUGGAAUUCCCGGUGUAGCGGUGAAAUGCGUAGAGAUCGGGAGGAACACCAGAGGCGAAGGCGGCGACCUGGACGGACACUGACGCUGAGACGCGAAAGCGUGGGGAGCAAACAGG